UGCAAGUCGAGCGCGGGAAGCCGGCGGACUCCUUCGGGAGGAAACCGGUGGAACGAGCGGCGGACGGGUGAGUAACACGUGGGCAACCUGCCGGACUGAUGGGAAUAACCCCGGGAAACCGGGGCUAAUGCCCAAUACGCCCUGACCUCGCCUGAGGUCAGCGGUAAAGCAGGGAUCUUCGGAUCCUUGCACAGUCCGAUGGGCCCGCGGCGCAUUAGCUAGUUGGAGAGGUAAGGGCUCCCCAAGGCGACGAUGCGUAGCCGACCUGAGAGGGUGAUCGGCCACACUGGGACUGAGACACGGCCCAGACUCCUACGGGAGGCAGCAGUAGGGAAUCAUCCGCAAUGGGCGAAAGCCUGACGGUGCAACGCCGCGUGAGUGAUGAAGGUUUUCGGAUCGUAAAGCUCUGUUGACAGGGAAGAACCCACGUCAGUCGAACAGGCUGGCGUGCUGACGGUACCUGUCCAGAAAGCCCCGGCUAACUACGUGCCAGCAGCCGCGGUAAUACGUAGGGGGCAAGCGUUGUCCGGAAUUAUUGGGCGUAAAGGGCACGCAGGCGGUUUCGUCAGUCCGAUGUGACAGGCCACGGCUCAACCGUGGAAGGCCAUUGGAAACUGCGAAACUUGAGGACAGAAGAGGAGAGUGGAAUUCCACGUGUAGCGGUGAAAUGCGUAGAUAUGUGGAGGAACACCAGUGGCGAAGGCGACUCUCUGGUCUGUACCUGACGCUGAGGUGCGAAAGCAUGGGGAGCAAACAGGAUUAGAUACCCUGGUAGUCCAUGCCGUAAACGCUGAGUGCUAGGUGUUAGGGGUUUCGAUACCCGUAGUGCCGAAGCUAACGCAUUAAGCACUCCGCCUGGGGAGUACGACCGCAAGGUUGAAACUCAAAGGAAUUGACGGGGGCCCGCACAAGCGGUGGAGCAUGUGGUUUAAUUCGACGCAACGCGAAGAACCUUACCAGAUCUUGACAUCUUCCGCUACGCCUCGAGAGAGGCGGUUCCCCUUCGGGGGACGGAAUGACAGGUGGUGCAUGGUUGUCGUCAGCUCGUGUCGUGAGA
rnacentral:rRNA from 1 species